UACGUAGGGCGCAAGCGUUAUCCGGAAUGAUUGGGCGUAAAGAGCUCGUAGGCGGUUUGUCGCGUCUGCCGUGAAAGUCCGGGGCUCAACUCCGGAUCUGCGGUGGGUACGGGCAGACUAGAGUGAUGUAGGGGAGACUGGAAUUCCUGGUGUAGCGGUGAAAUGCGCAGAUAUCAGGAGGAACACCGAUGGCGAAGGCAGGUCUCUGGGCAUUAACUGACGCUGAGGAGCGAAAGCAUGGGGAGCGAACAGG
rnacentral:rRNA from 1 species